GGGGCUGAUUCUGGAUUCGACGGGAUUUGCGAAACCCAAGGUGCAUGCCGAGGGGCGGUUGGCCUCGUAAAAAGCCGCAAAAAAUAGUCGCAAACGACGAAAACUACGCUUUAGCAGCUUAAUAACCUGCUUAGAGCCCUCUCUCCCUAGCCUCCGCUCUUAGGACGGGGAUCAAGAGAGGUCAAACCCAAAAGAGAUCGCGUGGAAGCCCUGCCUGGGGUUGAAGCGUUAAAACUUAAUCAGGCUAGUUUGUUAGUGGCGUGUCCGUCCGCAGCUGGCAAGCGAAUGUAAAGACUGAAUAAGCAUGUAGUACCGAGGAUGUAGGAAUUUCGGACGCGGGUUCAACUCCCGCCAGCUCCACCA
rnacentral:tmRNA from 1 species